GUCAACGUUCAAACCAUGUUUUAAAAUACCAGUUCUCGUCCGAUCACUGAAGUCAAGGAACAUUGGGCAUGGUUAGUACUUGGAUGGGUGACCGCCUGGGAACACCAUGUAACGUUGACA
rnacentral:rRNA from 1 species